CUCUCUAAACCUCCUUCUCCAAGUUAUCUUUUGUCCCAGCUUUAUUUUCCAUCAUAUGGGGGAAUUGCUCCUUACUCUGUCCAUUUAUACCACAUUGAAAACAUAUGGUGUGUAGUCCUUCGUAUUCCACAAAGGCUACUUUUCCCUUUAUCUUUAUAUUUGGCCUUGAUGGUUUUGUGAGGUCGAGUUCAACACAAAUGCGGGCGAAUUUACCACGCGUCUGCUCCGCUGUGUUGUAGUCGACCUUCAACGUCAUCCUAAUGGUGUUUCCUAUGGUUCUCAGCACAUACUUAUCAUAAUAUUCUAUUGGAAGAUCGGAAAUCCUAACCCAAGCCACAGUUUUGUUGAGAUGUUCAACAUUUGGGUUAAAAUUCGGUCUCCAUCUCUGCACCGCUAAAUAGUGAUCAAAGAUCAUCCAUGGUCCUCCCUUAAAAGCUCCAUCAUAGUCUCCAAACGAUGUGAACUAACCGAACUAAGAAGAAAUCAUUUCCAACAUCUAUCAGACUUAUCAUCCCUUCUUUGCUCCACAUACUCUCAAGUUUCUUCUUAAGAACAUUGAAACCGAUAUGUCUCCCCAGCAAUUUCACGAUAAGUCUCUCUACCUGCUCUCCAGUUUUCCGUCCCUGGAACCUCAUAUUCUCUCUCCGAGUAUUCAAACUCUGACUCUUCUUCAGACUCACUCGUUUCCUCCAUGGACUCCUCUUCGUCCUUCGAGUCGGUCUCAUAGACAAAGUCUGGGCCUUUGACCAUGCUCACGUAGGAUCUUUUCACUUAGGGUUUCUUAGGGUUCUUCCAUUGCUCUGCUCCACGAGAAGCUUUUGGUGUCCUCCUGGGUUGCAAGAAAGUUUCAUUGCCAUCUUCAUUGCGCAGUUUUCUCUUACUCCUUGUCAAGAUAUUUGCAUCUUUGGCAGAUGGUGGUUCUUCGACUCUCUCAGUAGCCAUAACCAUGCUUUGGUGUAUUAGUUAUAUAAAAUGUGUUUAUAUGCAUUGAAGUAGCAAAGGGACAAUACAUUAGUAUUCUUAAGUCCAUUAACAAAAACAUAAGUUAUAAGGAAAACAAAGUUUUAUUUGACUAUUAGAUAUUUUUGUUAAAUAUUUAAUAGUCCACUUAAGCAAGUGUCUCGAAUCCCGUCUUGUGGAUGCAGCAACUCAUUGGGCAGCGACAAAUCUUUAAAUGAAGCUCAAUAGAUUAGUCCUUGGCUUACCGGAUUGAAAAAUACCAUAGAAAACAAAAAAAGAAAAAGACAUUUUUGUUAAAUAUUUAUUUUUUAAAAAAUUAUUUUAUUCUUUUAACAUCA